ensembl:snoRNA
AGCCUUUUCCAGUUCACACACGAUUGGGUUUCCACGUGUUUGUGUGACAUGUGCCUCCCUUAAACCUUGUUAGGACGCCGCCACGUUACCCGUCUCUCU